UGAUGUCACCAGUAUCAAGGACUUCUGGAUGGCUGAAUGGGACAGAAAUAAUGAAAACACUAUACUCUCUUUACCCCUUCCAUUAUCAUGUCUUACCCUCAGCUGCUCGGACGAAUUAUGCCCUGAGCUUCUCAGUAAAGGAUGUCGAGAGUUACACUACUGCUGUUGGAGGAAAUGAGGACAUGGACACACAUAGAGGAAAGACCAUGUGAGGACACAGGGAGAUGAUGACCAUCGACAAGCCAAGGAAACAGCCUCAGAAGAAACCAGCCUUGCCGACAGGUUGACCUCAGAGUUCCAGACUCCAGAACUGUGGGAAAACAAACUUCUGUUGGUUAAGCCACCUAAUCCUUGGCUAAAGAAACAAAACCAACACUCAGCAAACCAUCCAGUUGUGCUGUCAUGAGAGGAAAUGGGGAUGGCAGUGAGCAGAUCUGGGAGGGCAUCCAACGGUUACCAGACGCAAGCCAAGGAAGAUGGUGGGUUCAGGCAUUACAUCAAAGAUCAGAUGGUGCCAAAAGAUGAUGCACUCAGCUCCCUCUCUCUAGAGACCUAGUCUUAGUGAUCCGCCUAACCCUGCGAGUGCUGUCUGGAGA